rnacentral:lncRNA from 1 species
CACGGUCUAAACAGACACAAAUUACAUCUCACUGCACAACUACGUGUCGCAUACAUUGGAAUCACAGAAGUUUAAAUCAAAAAUUGAUCAGUCCUAUUUUCCUUGAUAAAUUGUCUUUUGUGUUCAUGAAUCACAAUUUCGUGAUUGAGCUUGGGCUCAUAGUCAUAAUACCAUAACUGAUGCAUUUUAAAGAAAUCUCAAUUAAAUAUAUUAAAGAUCUUUCUUUCAGUGUCAGGCUUAACAUCUACUUCAUCCUCAGAUCCAAAUACUAAAAUAAGUGAGGUAGAAAUUCCUUUGACCAGGCCUUUAAGAUAUGUUAGAACCCUUUUUCUCAGGAUUAACCACUGUAAAAUUUGUUAAAGUCAGUCAUUAAAAAUUGAAUUACACAUGCUGAAAAUGCACACUCUUACAGGUUUAGUAUCUAGCAUGAUGAUCUACCACACUAUUAAUAAACUUAAGAAUAUUUUUUUUUUCCUUUGGAAAAUGACUUAUUAGCAUAAUUGAAGAAAAGAAAACAUCUUUUGUUCUGAAGGUCUAUUAAGUGGCGUGGACAUGUGCUGUCACUUUAUUGAUGUAAAGGGAGAGGAUUAUAAAUAUCGAUGUGAUAAAUAAAUGGAUUUAUUCGAUGCAUGCAGUUAGCCUGGACAGGUGAAGCCCAGUUUGGCCAUGUGAGGGAUGAUGUGUCAGAGCAGCUUCCGUGGGACGUGUGUCCCCAGCUCACAGCCACAUCCUUCUGCCCCCCAAUUUCCCUUCGGGGCUGGCUGGGGCUGUCUGCUUUCGUUUUAACAGGAGGAGUAAUCAGCCAGGGACUGCUCUUACUCACUGCCCUCCGUCUCUGGGACCUCGUGGUGAGCUUUGUAGGAAGCUGUGCAGGCAGAAGAGCUCACCACAGAGCAUCUCAGCGCUGGCCAGGCUCCCCAGACACGCUGCCCUGCCUCAUGUGGGAGCAGACACCCUGCCCAGAGCUGACGUGGAUCCAGCAGAGCAAGUUUUGCUCUAACUCAUCCAGGAAAUCCAUGGCAGGCACAGGAACUCGACCCAGCUUACUCAGCUCCAUUGUUCGAGUCCCUCUCAGCCUGACCUCCCCCACAGCCCUGCCAUCAUUUUGACAUUUCCAUGCAGCACUGCCAGAGAGAGAGGCUGAGCUGAACGGUCCCCAGCACAGAAGAGAUGCUUCAUAGAAAGAAGAGAAUGAGAAGCAAAAGUUGAUGGUCUAAGGGGACAAGGAUCCAGAUAAACUACAGGUCCAAGCUGAUAAAUAAAAAUAUACAGGUUUUAGACA